GUGCAGUGGUGUGAUCACAGCUUACUGUUACCUUAAACUCCUGGGCUCAAGCGAUCCUCUCCUCUCAGCCUUCUGAACAGCCAGGACUACAGGCACAUGCCACCACACCUGACUAAUUGUUUUAGUUUUUUUUUUUUUUUUUUUUUUUAGAGAUGGGGUCUUGCUAUGUUGCCCAGGCUGGUCUUCAACCCCUGGCCUCAAGUGAUCCUCCCAUCUCAGCUUCCCAAAGUGCUGGGAUUACAGGCAUGAGCCACUGUGCCUGGCCAAAAUUCAGUUGUUUUUUUCUUUCUUUUUGUGGAACCGCAGUGAGAACUUGAAAAUUCAGUUUAAAAAAAAUUGUUGUGAGCUGGAGAUCAGGCCUCACAGAGACACCAGGGGCCACCGGCACAAGAGGGACCACCCUAGGAAGACGCAACAAAAUGGUGGCCAACAGCAAGCCAAGGAGAGAGCCUCAGAAGAAACCAAACCUGCUGACACAUCGAUCAUGAGCUUUUGACCUCUCGAAUGUUAAGAAAAUAAAUAUCUGCUCUUUAAGCCA
rnacentral:lncRNA from 1 species